GAGGGUGUGGCUCAGGGGUAGAGUGUGUGCUUAAAAUGCACGAGGUCCUGGGUUCAACCCCCAGUACCUCCCG
rnacentral:tRNA from 1 species